rnacentral:rRNA from 1 species
UACGUAGGGUGCGAGCGUUAAUCGGAAUUACUGGGCGUAAAGCGUGCGCAGGCGGCUUUGCAAGACAGAUGUGAAAUCCCCCGGGCUCAACCUGGGAACUGCAUUUGUGACUGCAAGGCUAGAGUACGGCAGAGGGGGAUGGAAUUCCGCGUGUAGCAGUGAAAUGCGUAGAUAUGCGGAGGAACACCAAUGGCGAAGGCAAUCCCCUGGGCCUGUACUGACGCUCAUGCACGAAAGCGUGGGGAGCAAACAGG